CAAGCCUGUAAUCCCAGCACUUUGGGAGGCCGAGGUGGGGGGACCACCUGAAGUCCGGAGUUCAAGACCAGCCUGGCCAACAUGGUAAAACCCAUCUCUACUAAUAAUAUAAAACUU